rnacentral:rRNA from 1 species
UGAGUGAAGAACGUUCUCCGAUCAGGAACUCUGUUGGUUAAUAACAACAAGGACGUGACGUAACUGAACGUCCCCUGACCGUAUCUAACCCGAAAGCCACGGCUAACUAAUAUGCCAGGGUCCGCGGUAAUACAUAAGUGGCAAGCGUUGUCCGGAUUUAUUGGGCGUAAAGCGAGCGCAUGGCGGUUUCUUAAUUCUGAUGUGAAAGGUGCGCUCAACCUGGGGAGGGUCAUUGGUGACUGGGACACUUGAAUGCAAGUACGACAGUGGAAUUCCAUGUGUAUCUGGUGAAAUGCGUAGUAUAUAUGGAGGAACACCUGUGGCCAACGCGACUCUCUGGUGCUGUAACUGACGCUGAGGCUCGGAUUAGUGGCAAUCAAACAGCACUACAUACCCUGCUACUCCACGCCGAAUACGAUCAGUGCUCGUGUUUUCAGGGAUUUCCGCCCUUCAAUGCUGCUUCCACACGCAUUAAGCACUCCGCCUGGAGAGUACGACCACUUGGGUUGAAACUCACAAGAAUUGACGAGCGUCCGCUUUAGUUAGUGGAAAAUGCUGGAUUUACCUUCCAAUGCAACUCGACCAUGGCUUACCAUAGGCUUGACAUGCAUUUGAUCCACUCAAGCAAACUAGAGCUAU